GAGUUUGAUCGUGGCUCAGAUUGAACGCUGGCGGCAGGCCUAACACAUGCAAGUCGGGCGGUAGAGAGAAGCUUGCUUCUCUUGAGAGCGGCGGACGGGUGAGUAAUGCCUAGGAAUCUGCCUGGUAGUGGGGGAUAACGCUCGGAAACGGACGCUAAUACCGCAUACGUCCUACGGGAGAAAGCAGGGGACCUUCGGGCCUUGCGCUAUCAGAUGAGCCUAGGUCGGAUUAGCUAGUUGGUGAGGUAAUGGCUCACCAAGGCGACGAUCCGUAACUGGUCUGAGAGGAUGAUCAGUCACACUGGAACUGAGACACGGUCCAGACUCCUACGGGAGGCAGCAGUGGGAAUAUUGGACAAUGGGCGAAAGCCUGAUCCAGCCAUGCCGCGUGUGUGAAGAAGGUCUUCGGAUUGUAAAGCACUUUAAGUUGGGAGGAAGGGCAGUAAAUUAAUACUUUAGCUGUUUUGACGUUACCGACAGAAUAAGACACCGGCUAACUCUGUGCCAGCCG
rnacentral:rRNA from 1 species